GACGUAGGGCGCGAGCGUUGUCCGGAUUUAUUGGGCGUAAAGAGCUCGUAGGCGGUCUGUUGCGUCGGCUGUGAAAACCCGGGGCUCAACUCCGGGCCUGCAGCCGAUACGGGCAGACUAGAGUUCGGCAGGGGAGACUGGAAUUCCUGGUGUAGCGGUGAAAUGCGCAGAUAUCUGGAGGAACACCGGUGGCGAAGGCGGCAUCCUGGACCGGUAUUGACGCUGAGGCGCGAAAGCCAGGGGAGCAAACGGG
rnacentral:rRNA from 1 species